AGUCAUUGAUUGGACAUAAAUCAAAGCACAUUAAAAAUGGAAAUUCGCUCUUUUUUGACCAUUAUUUUUGUAAUCGCAUUCGCUCUACUUCAUUAUGGAGAGGCAAUGAGAUGUUAUAAGUGCGAUUCGCGAAUUAGUGAAACUUGUGCAUUCGAACGUCGAAAGAGAUAACAGAGUGUGCAACUACUAAUUGUGCUACUUGUUAUAUUGACUGGUCCAACGGUACUGAGAUUCUUCUCAGAGAACGCUCCUGUGGCAUAGUAAAUUAUGACUUUGUGAACCGUUAUUAAUCGAUUUUCAGUAUUGUUCAAUAUGUUAUAAAGAUCUCUGUAAUAAGUUUAAUAAUAAUGCUAAUAUGGCAACAGUUAGCAUGACAUUAAGAUACCUCAUAUUGUUUUGGGCGAUUCGGUUUGUUCUUACAAAUUCUUAUUAAUUGUUUAACUCACAUAAAAAAUACGUCCUUAUAUUUAAAAAAUAUUA